UACAUUCACUCUGAGAUUGGUUGGGUACAUCAGACGGCUUACUUAUUACAAUUCAAGAAAAGAUAAAAUGGGCAGACUCCAUGAGUGAGCUGGACAAGAAACUUAAAAAGGAAAAUGUUGAAAUGCUUGAAGAAGCGAAGAAUGCACUCUCCCUCAAGGCUGACAUUGACUUCCGAGGGCACGGGCGUUUUGCGGAACCUGGUGGAAUAAUGGAUUUUGGUGAAGACCGACGAUCCAAGAGGUAAAUAUUCGCAUGCAUUUUGUGGGUCUGAUGUAGUUUCUAUUCGACCGUAUUUCAAGGUCUACAUAUUUUUUUUAUGUUUAGACUUCAUAUUUCUAUCCUUAUAUCAUAACCAUAUAUACUAUCUUCUUUCA